rnacentral:rRNA from 1 species
CAAGUCGACGCGAAAGUCCUUCGGGAUGAGUAGAGUGGCGGACGGGUGAGUAACGCGUAGGAAUCUGUCCGGUAGUGGGGGAUAACGUUCCGAAAGGAACGCUAAUACCGCAUACGCCCUAAGGGGGAAAGGGGGGGAUCUUCGGACCUUCCGCUAUCGGGGGAGCCUGCGUCGGAUUAGCUAGUUGGUAGGGUAAAGGCCUACCAAGGCGACGAUCCGUAGCUGGUCUGAGAGGAUGAUCAGCCACACCGGAACUGAGACACGGUCCGGACUCCUACGGGAGGCAGCAGUGGGGAAUAUUGCGCAAUGGGCGAAAGCCUGACGCAGCCAUGCCGCGUGUGUGAAGAAGGCCUUCGGGUUGUAAAGCACCUUUAGUGGGGAGGAAAGGGCGCUGGCUAAUAUCCAGUGCAGUUGACGCUACCCACAGAAAAAGCACCGGCUAAUUCCGUGCCAGCAGCCGCGGUAAUACGGAAGGUGCAAGCGUUAAUCGGAAUUACUGGGCGUAAAGCGCGCGUAGGCGGCUUGGUAAGUCGGAUGUGAAAGCCCCGGGCUUAACCUGGGAACUGCAUUCGAUACUGCUGGGCUGGAGUACGAGAGAGGGGGGUGGAAUUCCAGGUGUAGCGGUGAAAUGCGUAGAGAUCUGGAGGAACAUCGGUGGCGAAGGCGGCCCCCUGGCUCGAUACUGACGCUGAGGUGCGAAAGCGUGGGGAGCAAACAGGAUUAGAUACCCUGGUAGUCCACGCUGUAAACGAUGUCUGCUAGCCGUUGGGACCCUUGAGGUUUCGGUGGCGCAGCUAACGCGAUAAGCAGACCGCCUGGGGAGUACGGCCGCAAGGUUAAAACUCAAAUGAAUUGACGG